CUCCAUGCUCCAUUUGUGCCUCCCCUUCGCAUCUCCAUCUCCAAUUUGUGACCCAUCUUCUUCCUCAACCAAAAGGGGCAAAAUCACCAUUGAUGAAGCUUGAAGACCNAAGGAGGAGUGGGAGAGCUUCCCAACACCCCAAAUAGCCUCCAAGGGCUUCUCCCAAUCUCUCUAGGUGAAGAAUGAAGUGUAGGAGGAGAAGAAUCCCCAAAAAAUCGCGAGGCCCAUGUUUAAAUAACCCAUUUUGACACAUCAGCCUCGUCACUCCAACUGCAGCAUUCCAGAGAGCAGGGCGCUCAACUGCACCCCACCUGCACCCCAGCGGCAAAUUUCCAGUAACAGAGCG
rnacentral:lncRNA from 1 species